CGAGCGAUUUCCGAUGAUCUUCGCCAUUUUGCUCCAGGAUUCUUUGGUAGGAAGAAGGGAGAAGGGUCUCCCCUUUAAACAAAAUUGAAGGAGAGGAGUUUGACUCCUCUCCGAUGAGGUUUCCGACUCCGAUUAGGAGCCGGUCGGGAGAAGAAGACUCCCUGCAGGAGUCUUCUUCAUUUUUUUUUUUUUGUGGGCUA
rnacentral:lncRNA from 1 species